rnacentral:rRNA from 1 species
GACGAACGCUGGCGGCGUGCUUAACACAUGCAAGUCGAACGGAAAGGCCCUGCUUUUGUGGGGUGCUCGAGUGGCGAACGGGUGAGUAACACGUGAGUAACCUGCCCUUGACUUUGGGAUAACUUCAGGAAACUGGGGCUAAUACCGGAUAGGAGCUCCUGCUGCAUGGUGGGGGUUGGAAAGUUUCGGCGGUUGGGGAUGGACUCGCGGCUUAUCAGCUUGUUGGUGGGGUAGUGGCUUACCAAGGCUUUGACGGGUAGCCGGCCUGAGAGGGUGACCGGCCACAUUGGGACUGAGGUACGGCCCAGACUCCUACGGGAGGCAGCAGUGGGGAAUAUUGCACAAUGGGCGGAAGCCUGAUGCAGGAACGCCGCGUGCGGGAUGACGGCCUUCGGGUUGGAAACCGCUUUCGCCUGUGACGAAGCGUGAGUGACGGUAAUGGGUAAAGAAGCACCGGCUAACUACGUG